UCUCUGAUAGUAUAUCGGUUAGUACACGCGCCUGUCAUGAGGAUUAUUUAUAUCCCCGUCAUUAUGCGCGCGAAAGCUGGGUUCGACUCCCAGUCAGAGAG
rnacentral:tRNA from 1 species